rnacentral:lncRNA from 1 species
CAAAGUAUGAAGUUGUAAUUCUGAAAUAUACAUCCAAGUGAAUGAGAAUUAAAAAUUUUCUGAAUAUUAAUACUAACUGGGAAAAACAGAAAACUAGUGUGAAGUUUACAGUUAGAAGAAACAGACCCAAAGUUGCCAAAAGGUAAUAAAUAAAUGUAGUUUUCACUGUAAAUUAUUGAUGUAAGAUGCUUUAUUUGUAAUAUAUUUAGAUUUUGAAAGUUAUUGAGAGAUGAAUGUAUAAAAGCUAAAUUUUCUUUUCUGAAGCAGCGAAACAAAAUUGGGGUAACAAGGAAGCUCUAUGGUGGCAAACAUGUCUGUGAGGAAUAUUAAGCACACUCCCACAGGCUUUAAACUCAAAUCAUGAACAUUUAAAUUAAGUCGUUCCUUAUUUUGCCUAUACCCAUUUUUACCUUUCAGUGUCGUUUUUGCUUGACAGAGUAUGGUGACAGAGUGUUUUUAUUUGGAAAGUCCUCAGCAAGAUGAAUUAGCCAAAAGCAAUAAUGGUUCAGAUUAAACAAUGAAGUGGAAUUGAUUCAGUCCCAGGCCCAACUAAGGAACAGUUGCUCUCUGGGUGUCUCAUUUUAGAUGAUCGAUAAGUUGAGAUGUUGUAAUAUUUAUGGGGGGUUAAGCCUAUGUCAAUUGUGGGAUGAAGACUGGUAGUACCACUACCAUCAGUAGUCAUACUUUUUUUUUUAACUUUUUACUAAACUAAUACUAGACAUUUCCACUCUGUCAUGAUUAUAUUUUUAUGACAGGAAAAUAAAAACAGUUCCAUGUUUUUAUAAAUAGUCUCUGCAAAGAUUUCAGAUGUUAUUGGUAUCCCGGUUUGGCAGUAUCUGAAAAAUUGAGAUUGCCUUUAAAGUGUUCAUGCUACUUUUACUUAAGUAAACCUCCACUGUAUAAGACCCAGGCCGGUUCCAACUAAUACCAAGGUUUCUAUGCGCAUAAUAGUUUACAAAGAACUUAAAGACUAUGGAUUAAAAACAAAAAUUUUUUUAACUUUAAAAUUUUUAAUUUUUGUUCAAAGUAUCUGGUUUAUAAAGUCAAAUUCUUUUAUUAUUUCCUUUCUCUUUUAAGUUGACUGAUUUUGCUGAUUAAGCGUAAAGUCCCAGGCACAGUUGUGAUGACGUACUGAUAAAAUGGGUGCCUAGUGGGUUGAGGAGCUCCAGUGUCAAGACUUUUAUUAAAUUGCCCUUGUUUUCCCAAAUGCCAAUCUAGCCGUAUUUAGAUUUCAUUAUUCAAUAAAACAGAUUAAAAAUCAUCCCAUAAAUGAAUGUUGAGGUUACCAAAGUACAUCACCUGCUGAGGAAGGAGAAAUCUUCCUGCUUUAAGGGAGCCCUGUCGUCUCUCCUUGACACGUUGUUUCCCUUGGUAUUAGUGGAAGCUCUGUUCAAGAUGGGAAGCCUUUCCUGCAGUUCUUAGAAACACCUGCUUUCUAAAGAGAGCCUUUUCUAGGAUUAGGUUAUGUGUGUUUUCUCUAGGAGAUUUUUUAUUUCAGUUACCAAUUUAAUUUUCAAGUUGACAGAUGCUAUGUGAAGUCUCUCAUACUGAGAGUAGUCCAUUAAAGUUUUGAAAGUUGCACUGCUUUUCAUCUUUCAGGUACCUGAAACGAAUGACAUCAGGUGUUUGGAAGGAGUAAGAUCAUAAACUUUAUUCAUUUUCUUCCUUGUACAAAGUGAUGACUUCUAAUGCUUAUAUCUCAAGGUAUUUUUUAAAAAAGCAACAGUCCCUAAUAGAGUAAAAUUUGGUUUUGGUCCAAGUUCCCAAUAAUAUAUUUAAUGUUUCUGUUGUUACUGGUGCCUCCUGUUGCAUCAGAUAGAGAUUGCCUGCCUCUUUGUAGGGCACCCUUGUGGCACCUUAUGUCCAACUUGGAGGAUAGUAUAUGGCUUCUUUGUGCCUCUACUAUCUUUUCAAAAGCCAUUUUAUAAAAAUCCUAGGUAGCCUAUUUUAAUAUUUAAAUAUAUAUAUUUGUGAAAGAACUUUUACAACAGACUUUUUUUUUACUUUAAAAUUCCUGUAUUUCCAUUUUUAAGAGUAAAUUUAAUCUCCAGGAUAUAGAAGUGUCUUUUUUCCAGAGAAGCAUAAUGAGAAAGUCAGAUUGAGGUAAUAGACCAGAAUUAAGUGAUAGAAGAAGCUGUUGUUUGGUUAAAGGACACAGGUUUGAAGGAAAAAAAUUUUGAUGUAACAAAUUUUUAAAUAAAAUUUUGUUUUUGUUCUGUAAUUUCAUAUUUGCUGCUACAGUAGCUCAAUAUUUUACAGGGCUAACAUAAAUCUGGCUCCAUUUAAAAACUGGAGUACUUCCUAGUGCAGCCAGCCUAGGCAGAAACUGUACACAUGGUCUUCCAGCUGGGUGACUGAUGGUUUUGUGUAGCUGAUGCAUGCUUUAAUAUUUGCCUAUAGCCCUGCAGCAAGGAAGUCGAGGUGGGGGUACUUUUUUACCCUGCCAGUUAUAGCAUUAUGAUUCUUUCUGGGCACUGGCAUUUUGUGAAACUCUCAAGGGAAGGUGAUGCAGGGGAGAAAAUGUGAAUUAAAUUACAUAGAUGGGUGUUUUUAUGUCUUCUACCCCUUUCCUAGAAUUAGUACAACUCUUAACUGUGCCAGUCCCCAGUUCACCAGCUUUGUAUCCAGUCGUCAUCUCAUUCAAGUAUGGCUUUACUUGGUGACACUGGCCAUAGCUAAAUUACUUGGCAUGUUUGACUUUUGACAAUAACAGAAAUUGUUUUGGAUUUUGUUUUAUUUCCAAAAAAUGUAUACAAUGUCAGAACUUCACAUUUUAUAUACUAGUAUCUGGCUAUUAGUAUUUUACAGGAACCAUAGUUCUUGGUGACUACAUAUAUAUAUAUAUAUAUAUUUUUGUGACCUUUUUUGUAAACUAAGUGCCGUUUCAACGUUACAAUCAUUUUUAGAGUUAUUGUAAUCAAUGUGAAUAUCAUGUUUUUUCAAAUCUGUUCUGAGCCUAUAGUGUUUGCUUUGUGAACAUAAGUGUAUUGUAUAUAUUCUGUAUAGUUAUAUUGUACUGAAAUUAGCUUGUUUGAUAUAAGGAAAAUAUGUAUUGAGUACCUUUUUGCUAGCCUGAUUGUUUAAUCUUUUUAAAAAAGGUUUAAACUUUUUUAAAAAAAAAAAAAUUCUUUAAACUGGCCUUUAUUACAUGGUCACACAUAAAGUUGCAGUUAGGAAAGGGAUGGGCAGGGAAAAACUAGUUUUGAGUGUCUUUAGAUAGAAACAUGAGACUAAGGUUUGGUUUUGUUUUCGUUUUCUCAUUAAAAUAUCUUAUGCUUUAUG